AAGUUAAAAUAAUAAUGUUCUCUUGUUGACAUAUUUAUGAAACCCAAUCAAGCCAAAAAUCUCCUCCAAUGAAGCCUGGCCAAUAAACCAAAGGAGGCGAAACUCAUUUUUCCUAACAUCUUCAUCACAUGCUAGGCUGUAACACUGUUCAAGAUCCCACCUUGCUGCCUUUUUCCUUCUCUCUGUACUGUUGGGCAGCAUAAAUAGCGUUAGGUUGG
rnacentral:lncRNA from 1 species